UUCCGCUUUCUAUACCUUGAGCUUUUCUUCCCUCGCCACUCGCCGCGAGUACCAAGUUUCUGAAAGAUUUGGGGAAGGGAAGAAAUGUCGAAGUUUGAGUACCCGAAGCUUACUCGCCCCGACAUCGUCACAAUCCUCGCCGACGCUCACAUCGUCGCUAUUUCCGACCGCGAUCUCGUCAACCCCAACCCUGAUUUCGUCGCCGACCUCUACACCCGCAUCCUCGUCUCCCUCGACUUCUUCCACGAGGAAGAUUUUGGGCAGGUUGAGUUUUCGGCCUUGGAGCAGCUCCAGAACCCUGAUUUUCACAUGGACUCGGCCCGGACCAUGAAGCUAUGCAACAGAAUCAAGGAAGUGGUGGCUUUAGUAGAUUGUCAAAGAGAUUUACCUUAAAAGUUCUCGUAAAACCUGAGACGGAUCGGACUGAAUAUUUUGUCAGUGCACUUCUCAUUUUCUCUCUUCACAGCUAAGAUUUGGUGUUGUUAGUUAUUUGUUUCAAGGAAGCACAAAUCAAACUUCACCUGAAGGACAAUAGUUCUUCCCAUUUCGAACAUAAUGGAAAAGAGAACAUGUUUCACAUAUGAAAAGCUCAACUGUCUGGUUUAAAUAGUUCUAUCAUAAUUGCUUCUCACACAUGAUAGCUGUUUAUGUUACGUAUCAGAGAAACAAAAAUGAAUAUCCUUACCCAAGUCGUGGAUCAAUUAACUGACAUAGAUGAGCGACGCAAAGGAUGGGAGGAUAAGAUUUCCCAGUUGAAUGCAGAGAUUGCGGACUACAAUGAAGCAAGAGAAAAGAAGUUGCCUCUUGUUCAGGAGGUAGAUGCAAAAGUUAAAGAAUUGCACCAAACCGUUUCAGGCCUUAACAAUCAGCAAAAGUCACUGAGAACUUCUCGUCAGAAGUUGAAGGAGAAGAUCGGAGAAAUAGAGGAAAAGUCAUUUGGGCCGAAUUUCAUUUUAUUUACGAGGCUACCACUGACUGCCGUUGAUCAUGAUGCCCGCGUGUUGAUGAUCGUGGAAAGGCAGGGUGCGAUCGUCACUUUACCAUUCUCUUCCUCCCCUCUUUCUCUCUCCAUCAGAUCCCAUUCUCUUCAUCACUUUCUUUCUCUCUCCCUCAGUUUCAAUCUGCUCACCUAAAAUCCCCAGAUCGAACAUCCUCCAUCUCAAAUAAAAAAACCUUCCUUAAUCAUGGAUUUUUGUUGAGAGUCGACCUUCAGGUGAUAAAAUCGUGAUGUGACCAUCGUAUUAUCUCUCACAGCUCACAACGAUGAAAUCGCACCACGACCAAUGUCGGUAUGAUUAGACGGUUCGGAUGCGCCUAAUGAACAAACCUAAUUUGCCUCGCGCGUUCAGUCAUCACCUUCCUUCGUCUAAAACCUCACACAGAGACAGAGCUCCCCCAAAACCCUAAACGCCCAAAGUAUUAAUCACGAAGUUACGGAGCUGAAAUUGCAAACGCUAUCAUGGCUCACUUCAAAAAUAAGAAGGUGUUUGUGAAUUUGGUUUCGACGAAGCAUAUGGACCAUAUCACAGGGGAUAAAAUCCCAAAGAGCUUUGUUUUCCAGACGCAAGUUGCCUGGUCCUCUGAAUCAGCUUCAAGAUGAUUUGAGAAAACUGAUGCUUCCUUACACUGCCCUUAAGCUUAAGGAGAAGAGGCAGAACAAUCUUAGAAACAUUUUGGUUGUGGUUGGGCCUAUGGGGGUUACACAUUUCCUCAUGUUGUCAAAAACUCCAACUGCGCCAUACCUUAGGGUUGCGAGGGCACCUCAAGGCUCAACGAUAUUUUCAUAAGAUAUGCAAAGGGUUCCAUUUCUAUUGUCUUUGUGGGUUUUUAGGGGUGCAGAUCUUGAUUGACAAGGAAGAAUAGAAAUGGAUAUAACAACAGUGAGACCAAAUGGGAGAUCCAAUAAAAAAAAAAAACAGCAAUGGAUAAACCGAGGCCUAUAGAUUCCAAUUGCCUUACAACCGCCGCCAGAGAGGUCGGAUUGUCCAAAGCGCUGCCUCUUCCUCCAGCAACACCGUUGUGUCAGAUGUUAAGCUGCAGCUCCAGGAGGAGGACCACAGCAAUGGCUUCAAUCCCAUUUCCACUUUUGCUUCAGUGUGGUUCGAAUUUGCCAGGAAUGUGUCCGGUGAAUGGGAUGGCCAUGGAGCAGACUUUACAAGGGAAGGGUGCCCAAUAAAACUUCCCGAGAAUGUUGUACCUGCAGCUUACAGGGAGUGGGAGGUUAAGGUUUUCGAUUGGCAGACUCAAUGCCCCACUCUUGCUAACCCAGAUGAGCACAUUCUUUUAUACAAGAAUAUAGAGCUACUUCCUGCUGUUGGAUGUGAAGCUAAUGCUGCCACUCGAUGACUCCAGAGAUUGUUGAUGAUCCAUUCCAAACUAUGUGAGUUUUCAAGUUGAAAAGUGGAAGUCCGAACUUAUAGCUUAGAGAAAAACCCUUGGUUGAAUCAAAUACUGAAGAGCUAGCCAAUUUAACAUGAGCGGAUAUGAGGGAAUCUGAUUUUAGUGGUUCUACUUUCAAUGGUGCAUACAUGGAGAAAGCUGUCACGUAUAAGGCAAACUUUGAGGUAAGAGCUUCGCACUGUACAAAUAGAUACUAAGAUGUGAACGAAGCAUAAAUAGUCUUAGCUACCUAUCCUCCAGUUUAUGUUUGCAUCAUGAGAUCACCCAAAAGACAAAACCCACCUUCAUUGUCAGUUCAUUUCCAUACAAGUUAUCCCGGAUUGUUAAGCAUUUAGGCCAUGCUAAAUAUGAAGGACUAGAUUACACUUGAAGGAUUAAGAAAGGGUUGAUGUCUAAAGCGUAUCCCUAAUCUUAUCCCCACUAAUCCCUUUAAAAAUUGUAAGCAGACGUAUUGAAAUUUAUGUAUAUAACUUUUUUUUUAAGAACAGAUGUAAAUUAGAAUCAUACUUGGGUUAACAUACUGGUGGUAUAUGAUUGAACGAUGCUAAAGGCUAAGUAUGAACUUAUACUGGUGGUAUAUGAGGGAAGAGCACUGUGGCGUGUGCUUUGAGUGGGAGUUUGUACCGCAGGGGAAGCUGUUGUACAUUCUUGAUGGGGACAAUGUCAGGCAUGGCUUGAAUUGCGACCUUAGUUUUAAAGCCGAAAAUCGUGCAGAGAACAUUUGGAGGAUUGGUAGUAUGUGUAUGCCUCUUUUUAGAUUAACUAGACCCUCUUUAUAGAUUAACUAUGGCUUUCUGCUUCAUUAUGUAUUCAUGAAACUAAUCUCUGCAGUUUUUCAAUUCAUUUGGGGUAUUUGUGAUUUUGAAUGACACUAAAAUUAUUUAUGGGUUAUAGGAACCACCGGUUAAGAAAAUGGGUCCAAAUUCAGAGCUGCAUUUUUCUUCCUUCAAAAUAAGAAGAAAACAUUUCCUCAACUCCAUAUUUUAGCACCUCAGCUCUAAAGCCUUCUAUUUCUUUCUGUUUCUUCAGAGCUAAUUUACCCAUAUUUUAUUUGUAAAGUGAAAGAUUGGAUUUCACAUGUCUGAGUACUUACGGUUUUGUACAAUACAAACUUGAGCUUAUUGAUCCAAAUGGCUAGAACAGUAUACUCAACCAAUUUCAUAUCCUCUUGGCCAAAUAAGAGUAUAAUACUUGCCACUAAGAAAAAUACUUCUAUAAUAGCAAUGUGUUGGUGUGUGGCAUGCUCUAAUUAGAGAUAUUUUUGUGUUAUAAUAAGAAAGCCACAAAGAGAGAGAGAGCGUUUGUUUAUUUGGAUUUGGUUAAUGUUUCAAUCGUAAAUGUGAUGAUAGAAUGAAAGCUGAGGACACACAAAUAAUAAAUGUAGUUUGGAAUUUGUAAGUUACAAGCUUAUGGAAAGUAAGCUUUUGUAGUUGUUUAAUGACAUAGUCAAAGAGUUGUCCAUCUAAUGUUUACUCUACAAUGGCUGUCAAUGAACACUAUAGUCUCAUUCCGUGGGAGAAAUUUCAAAGUAAGAUGUUAAUGUCUGAAACAAGCCUAUGUUGAAAUUUAUUUCAUCGUUUUGUUUUUUGUAUGAUAUAUUUAUUGUUGAAAUUUUCUUACUACUUUGUUUUAUAAAAGAUUCAGGAUGGGGAUAAUUUAGCUUUCACCUCUCCCAAACCCUGCGUAAAGCGGGAGCCUUGUGCACUGGGUACGACCUUUUUUGUUUGCAGGAUCAACUUGGGAAAGAACAGAGGAGAGCACAAGUAUUAUCAAUUUAUUUGCUAUAGUAUUGUCCCUCUUCCUCUGGCCUCCUGAAGUGUUUCCAUUCCAGUGUCACCAUCUUUUGUUUCAUUCAUUUGUAGAAUAUAUUCUUCUUUUUUCUAUGCCUUUAUUACCUCCUUUUAACUUUGAUUAUUUGUACUUGAUGAGUAUUAUUAGACCCAUUCUCAAAAAUUUGCAUCCCCUGCUUCUUUCUUAUGGUCCUUAUACUUAAACAUGUGCAAGUUUGUAUUUUUCUGAUGGAUUGGACUGUUGGGAACUUAGGUACUUUUACUUUUUAUAUAUUUUUGUUGGGUUUUUUCUUUUUCGGAAAAUGAGUAUUUGAUUAAUCGCUUGAGUUGCGCUUUCAAAAGGACUGUUAGAAGUUUUGUGUCAAUUUGGUUGUGAUGGUAAGAUUACUUUAUGUAACAUUAUGUUGUGGCAUGUGAGUGUUGAACUUUUUUCUUAAUUUAAUUUCGGAAAGAAAUGCGUUUAACAGUAGUCCUAUAUGAUGAAGUUAGCAUCCUUAUAAGUUGGGAACCUAAAACAAUAGUGGUGUACCCAUAAAUUCCUAAUUUUCUCUGCCUCCUUCCCCUCUACUUGCAUCAGUUGUGACUUAUUUUCUUUUUUGGUUCUAUCUCAGGAGUUUGUUAGGGAGAAAGUUCAUGAAUGAAAGAAAUCUAAUGGAGAGAUAAAAGUUAGGAUCUGCAGAGAUUAAAAAGUAAAAAAGGGCGAAGGAAAGCGAUGUUGACUCACGAAAGAUGGUUCAAAUCUCUGUUGGAGGUACAUUGGAUUUAUGUUUCUGAUGUGUUAAGUACAUUGUUAGAACUAUAGAUUUGGAUUGAACUUAAUGUUGUCCGUGUGUAUAUUUAAAUAUGUGUGUAUAUAGAUAUGCGUGCGUAUAGAUUUAUACACAAGGGGAAGAUGGAUGGAUAGGUGUAUGCUUAGUCCGUAAAAGAAGAGAAAACGAAAACCACACCAAACAACUCGCAUUUAAAGCUCUUUUUCUUUUUCCCUUUUGACAUAAAUCUCUCUUUGUUAGAUUGCUAGGGGGCUGAUUCUUUCUCGAAUUUGUGUGCACAAAAAAUGGUUUAGUAUAUAUGUGAAGGGGAUGAGAGAAGGCAGAUAUGCAAAUGUUGUAUCAGAGAUAAUUCCUUUACAGAGUUCGGUGCUUACGUUUGUAGCUUUAAGAUCGGUGGGGAUGUUUCAUAACAUUUAAGGAUCCUCAAUUCCAAUGUGUUUCAUAACAAUGAAGGAUCCCCGAUUCUACUAUCAGUGUGGAUGUUUCAUAACAUUGAAGGAUCCCAUAUUUCAGUGUGGAUGUUUCAUUGUACAAUGUGUUUAUAUGUCAUCUCAUUUGAAUGUACAUAAAAGCAAAAUUGCUUAUCUUAUCGAUUUCAUUUACUCAUGUAUCCUGUAUUUGUUCAUAAUUGUGUUGAAUUUAUUCAACUUAAAUGUGUUUUAUUCAUC